UUAAGCGACUAAGCGUACACGGUGGAUGCCCUGGCAGUCAGAGGCGAUGAAGGACGUGCUAAUCUGCGAAAAGCGUCGGUAAGGUGAUAUGAACCGUUACAGCCGGCGAUGUCCGAAUGGGGAAACCCAGUGCAAUUCGUUGCACUAUCGUUAACUGAAUACAUAGGUUAACGAGGCGAACCGGGGGAACUGAAACAUCUAAGUACCCCGAGGAAAAGAAAUCAACCGAGAUUCCCCCAGUAGCGGCGAGCGAACGGGGAGCAGCCCAGAGUCUGAAUCAGCUUGUGUGUUAGUGGAACGGUCUGGAAAGUCCGACGGUACAGGGUGAUAGUCCCGUACACCAAAAUGCACAGGCUGUGAACUCGAAGAGUAGGGCGGGACACGUGGUAUCCUGUCUGAAUAUGGGGGGACCAUCCUCCAAGGCUAAAUACUCCUGACUGACCGAUAGUGAACCAGUACCGUGAGGGAAAGGCGAAAAGAACCCCGGCGAGGGGAGUGAAAAAGAACCUGAAACCGUGUACGUACAAGCAGUGGGAGCACCUUCGGGUGUGACUGCGUACCUUUUGUAUAAUGGGUCAGCGACUUAUAUUCUGUAGCAAGGUUAACCGUAUAGGGGAGCCGCAGGGAAACCGAGUCUUAACUGGGCGUUAAGUUGCAGGGUAUAGACCCGAAACCCGGUGAUCUAGCCAUGGGCAGGUUGAAGGUUGGGUAACACUAACUGGAGGACCGAACCGACUAAUGUUGAAAAAUUAGCGGAUGACUUGUGGCUGGGGGUGAAAGGCCAAUCAAACCGGGAGAUAGCUGGUUCUCCCCGAAAGCUAUUUAGGUAGCGCCUCGUGAAUUCAUCUUCGGGGGUAGAGCACUGUUUCGGCUAGGGGGUCAUCCCGACUUACCAACCCGAUGCAAACUACGAAUACCGAAGAAUGUUAUCACGGGAGACACACGGCGGGUGCUAACGUCCGUCGUGAAGAGGGAAACAACCCAGACCGCCAGCUAAGGUCCCAAAGUCAUGGUUAAGUGGGAAACGAUGUGGGAAGGCACAGACAGCCAGGAUGUUGGCUUAGAAGCAGCCAUCAUUUAAAGAAAGCGUAAUAGCUCACUGGUCGAGUCGGCCUGCGCGGAAGAUGUAACGGGGCUAAACCAUGCACCGAAGCUGCGGCAGCGACACUAUGUGUUGUUGGGUAGGGGAGCGUUCUGUAAGCCUGCGAAGGUGACCUGUGAGGGUUGCUGGAGGUAUCAGAAGUGCGAAUGCUGACAUAAGUAACGAUAAAGCGGGUGAAAAGCCCGCUCGCCGGAAGACCAAGGGUUCCUGUCCAACGUUAAUCGGGGCAGGGUGAGUCGACCCCUAAGGCGAGGCCGAAAGGCGUAGUCGAUGGGAAACAGGUUAAUAUUCCUGUACUUGGUGUUACUGCGAAGGGGGGACGGAGAAGGCUAUGUUAGCCGGGCGACGGUUGUCCCGGUUUAAGCAUGUAGGCUGGUUGUCCAGGCAAAUCCGGAUAAUCAAGGCUGAGGUGUGAUGACGAGGCACUACGGUGCUGAAGUAACAAAUGCCCUGCUUCCAGGAAAAGCCUCUAAGCAUCAGGUAACAUCAAAUCGUACCCCAAACCGACACAGGUGGUCAGGUAGAGAAUACCAAGGCGCUUGAGAGAACUCGGGUGAAGGAACUAGGCAAAAUGGUGCCGUAACUUCGGGAGAAGGCACGCUGGUGUGUAGGUGAAGCCCCUGCGGGUGGAGCUGAGACCAGUCGAAGAUACCAGCUGGCUGCAACUGUUUAUUAAAAACACAGCACUGUGCAAACACGAAAGUGGACGUAUACGGUGUGACGCCUGCCCGGUGCCGGAAGGUUAAUUGAUGGGGUUAUCCGUAAGGAGAAGCUCUUGAUCGAAGCCCCGGUAAACGGCGGCCGUAACUAUAACGGUCCUAAGGUAGCGAAAUUCCUUGUCGGGUAAGUUCCGACCUGCACGAAUGGCGUAAUGAUGGCCAGGCUGUCUCCACCCGAGACUCAGUGAAAUUGAACUCGCUGUGAAGAUGCAGUGUACCCGCGGCAAGACGGAAAGACCCCGUGAACCUUUACUAUAGCUUGACACUGAACAUUGAGCCUUGAUGUGUAGGAUAGGUGGGAGGCUUUGAAGCGUGGACGCCAGUCUGCGUGGAGCCAACCUUGAAAUACCACCCUUUAAUGUUUGAUGUUCUAACGUUGGCCCCUGACCGGGGUUGCGGACAGUGUCUGGUGGGUAGUUUGACUGGGGCGGUCUCCUCCCAAAGCGUAACGGAGGAGCACGAAGGUUAGCUAAUCCUGGUCGGACAUCAGGAGGUUAGUGCAAUGGCAUAAGCUAGCUUGACUGCGAGCGUGACGGCGCGAGCAGGUGCGAAAGCAGGUCAUAGUGAUCCGGUGGUUCUGAAUGGAAGGGCCAUCGCUCAACGGAUAAAAGGUACUCCGGGGAUAACAGGCUGAUACCGCCCAAGAGUUCAUAUCGACGGCGGUGUUUGGCACCUCGAUGUCGGCUCAUCACAUCCUGGGGCUGAAGUAGGUCCCAAGGGUAUGGCUGUUCGCCAUUUAAAGUGGUACGCGAGCUGGGUUUAGAACGUCGUGAGACAGUUCGGUCCCUAUCUGCCGUGGGCGCUGGAGAAUUGAGGGGGGCUGCUCCUAGUACGAGAGGACCGGAGUGGACGCAUCACUGGUGUUCGGGUUGUCAUGCCAAUGGCACUGCCCGGUAGCUAAAUGCGGAAGAGAUAAGUGCUGAAAGCAUCUAAGCACGAAACUUGCCCCGAGAUGAGUUCUCCCUGAGACUUUAAGUCUCCUGAAGGAACGUUGAAGACGACGACGUUGAUAGGCCGGGUGUGUAAGCGCAGCGAUGCGUUGAGCUAACCGGUACUAAUGAACCGUGAGGCUUAACCUU
rnacentral:rRNA from 1 species